rnacentral:lncRNA from 1 species
UUAGAACAAAGUCACUUGUCUGUUGUAGUGACAACAUAAUUGUUCUUGUCUUUAGCUAAUCUUGUGGGACUGUUAAACAAUAACCUAUGAGCUUAAACCUUGUCUCUUCAGUUUUAUAUGCAUUUAAGCAUAACACUAAAUAUUACACUGUUCAGAUCAAAGCAAAUAAAAGCUACCAUAAUCAGGAUCAAAGGUAACAAAGUUAAAAACUGUGUAAAAAGGAGCUCAACACAUGUUCAAAGCUCCUCUUAACUCAAUGCACAACAGAGUGGGGAAAAACGGGAAAGCUUUGUGUUUAACUCGUCGUUUUUACGUGACUGGAUACUGCAAACUGUUUUAUCUGCCGCCUUCUGAAUUUCCCGAGAGACUUCCUUUAGCAGCUCCUCAGAGUUGGGAAUAUCUUCAAGAAGAGGAUGCAUGA